rnacentral:rRNA from 1 species
GACGGAGGGUGCAAGCGUUAUUCGGAAUUAUUGGGCGUAAAGAGCGUGUAGGCGGGCGGUUAAGUCAGGCGUGAAAGCCCAGGGCUCAACCCUGGAAGUGCGCUUGAAACUGGCUGCCUUGAGUCCGGGAGAGGGAAGCGGAAUUCCGGGUGUAGAGGUGAAAUUCGUAGAUAUCCGGAGGAACAUCGGUGGCGAAGGCGGCUUCCUGGACCGAGACUGACGCUGAGACGCGAAAGCGUGGGGAGCAAACAGG